rnacentral:rRNA from 1 species
CCUACGGGGGGCAGCAGUGGGGAAUAUUGCACAAUGGGCGAAAGCCUGAUGCAGCAACGCCGCGUGAAGGAAGAAGGGUUUCGGCUCGUAAACCUCUAUUAACAGAGACGAAAGAAAUGACGGUACAUGAAUAAGAAGCCCCGGCUAACUACGUGCCAGCAGCCGCGGUAAGACGUAGGGGGCAAGCGUUAUACGGAAUUACUGCGUGUAAAGGGUGAGUAGGCGGCAUGUUAAGCCAGAUGUGAAAGCCUUGGGCUUAACCCGGGGAUUGCAUUUGAAACUCGCAGGCGUGAGUACAGGAGAGGAGAGUGGAAUUCCUAGUGUAGCGGUGAAAUGCGUAGAUAUUAGGAAGAACACCAGUGGCGAAGGCGGCUUUCUGGACUGAAACUGACGCUGAGGCACGAAAGCGUGGGGAGCGAACAGGAUUAGAUACCCCAGUAGUC